UGCAGAAUCACCAUAUUUACUAUUUCUAAAACAAUUUGUAAGAAGUUACUUAUAAAUGAUUCCAAAAUGUUAUUUUACUGCUUUCAGGUCAAGUAACAAAUCAUCCUGUAUAUAUAGGUCCCGUACAUAUUGAUCCCCCGGCGGAAGAGGUGGACAUUGAUGAUGGUGCUUGCGGGCCAUAUAGGAAGGCGGUUGGUGAAAAGAUAGUGUGUUGCAACACCAGUUUAUACCCCAAUUAUCCUCCACCCAACAUCGACGGACCAUACUACCCUCCCUAUUUGUCACCCUUCACUGUUUCCGUUGUUGAUCCUAGGGGAUGUGACUGUCACAUCACCCAGUACUGUCCUGGUAGUUAUAAAAAUUGAAACGUUCUCGUGUUGAAUUAUUAUUGAAUACUGUGGCUAUUAGCAAACGAACACUACGAGUACUUAUGUUCACUUAUGAAUUGUUUUGUGUUAAUACAACGUGCACUAGCUGUUUGAAUAAAGAAUAUUUUGAAUAAUAUUUAACCUUCAUGUUAUAAAUAAAGAUUAUAUUGCA